CCGCCACCAGCUUCUCCUCUUUCUCCCGCUGCUGCUCCCAGUCCGGACCUUUGAUAAUCUACAAUAAUAUACAUUGCCAAUAUUGAGUAGAAAGGUGAUAUAUAGGUGCAUUGCGGAUACUCACGUCGGUCGAGGUCUUGCGGGUCUUCUUGUUGCCGGGUUCCUCGCGGUUCUCGUCGUUCUCGUUGUCGGAAUGGCGGGAACUUAAAUGGCCGAUGUAGCCUUUGCGGGAUUUAAAGUAUGUAUUGCAGCUGUGGCACUUGAAGAGCGGCGCCGGCUGGGUCACCUGGGUCGACACGUGUAGCUUGUAUUUGUGCCUGUACCAACGGGUUCGCGACGGAAGCACCUCGCCGCACCACUUGCAGACUACGGAACCGUCGUUUUGAAUGAAGUAUUCCAGCAGCUUGGAAAACAACGUUUAUUGGGAAAAGAUUGUCAAGAUCCGUGGCAAAGUCGAGGUCGCAAUUGAGACAACCAACCUGCUUCCUGACUUCCGGUUCAUUCUCGCCUGCUUCCGAUUUAGGUAGCAGAAGGUCGG
rnacentral:lncRNA from 13 species